GGGAACGUGGUUCACUGCUCCAUCCCUUGUAGAGUUUUCUACUGGAUCUCUGGAGAAAGCCUCAUUCAACCAGAACAGGCUGCCCCUCAUAGCCCCACACAUGUUCUCAGGGAAAAGGGUGUUUUUGAACAAGUGAAGCUUUGGAGAUGUGCUACAACUGAGGAUUCAAGAAUGUGAGACCUGUGACCUAGUGGACUGUGCAGCACAAUCCUCAUGAUGUUGUGUGCAUAUGGAAGUCAGAUAACAAAAUCAGAAUCAUAAACAGGUUACAAAUGUAAGAAAGGAAAAAAGAGAAGAAGGAAAGAAGGAAAAGCGGGAAGGAAAAAGAAGACUGAAGGAGAGGAACUUAUUCCGUGUCUUGGAAUUUUAUAGUAAUUUUAUAGAUUUUCUUUUAUCAUUUUUUUUUAAAAAUUAUUUCAACUUUUAUGCUAGAACAUCAGCUAGUCAGGAUGAAAUGUGUAUCAGGUUUCUCAACUUCCUGUUCUGAGACAAGUGUUGAAUAAACACAUGUAUAAAUACAUAGACUUAAAAUGAG
rnacentral:lncRNA from 1 species